AUUUGUAAUAUGGAGGAGCAGCCCACAGAGACUGCUGUUCCUAACAUGAAAUGGUCCACCUUCAUCCAACUGGCUGCCCAGAUCUGCAGGUCACUGGAUCCAACACCGUGCAGAAAACUCAGAGUACUCAGAAAACACCCAAACCAGUGUGCUUGUGAAGUCACCCUGCACAGCUGAAAUGUUAACUGGAGGUGCUAAGUCACCACACGUGCCCUGUGACUGAAACAACCACUUCUUCCAAGACUGGCUCGCUCUCUGCUGACCACAAGGGGCUGCU